rnacentral:rRNA from 1 species
AUUGAACGCUGGCGGCAGGCCUCACACAUGCAAGUCGAGCGAGCGGCGGACGGGUGAGUAAUGUCUGGGAAACUGCCUGAUGGAGGGGGAUAACUACUGGAAACGGUAGCUAAUACCGACUACCAUAAGAUGUGCCCAGAUGGGAUUGGCUAGUAGGUUGGGUAACGGCUCACCUAGGCGACGAGCCCUAGCUGGGCUGAGAGGAUGACCAGCCACACUGGAACUAAGACACGGUCCAGACUCCUACGGGAGGCAGCAGGGGGGUAUAUUGCACAAGGGGCGCAAGCCUGAGGCAGCCAUGCCGCGUGUGUGAAGAAGGCCUUCGGGUUGUAAGGCACUUUCAGAGGGGAGGCGUUACCCGCAGAAGAAGCACCGGCUAACUCCGUGCCAGCAGCCGCGGUAAUUC